rnacentral:rRNA from 1 species
CCUACGGGUGGCUGCAGUGGGGAAUAUUGGACAAUGGGGGCAACCCUGAUCCAGCCAUGCCGCGUGUGUGAAGAAGGCCCUCGGGUUGUAAAGCACUUUCAGUGAGGAAGAACGCCUGGUGGUUAAUACCCAUCAGGAAAGACAUCACUCACAGAAGAAGCACCGGCUAACUCCGUGCCAGCAGCCGCGGUAAUACGGAGGGUGCGAGCGUUAAUCGGAAUUACUGGGCGUAAAGCGCGCGUAGGUGGCUUGAUAAGCCGGUUGUGAAAGCCCCGGGCUCAACCUGGGAACGGCAUCCGGAACUGUCAAGCUAGAGUGCAGGAGAGGAAGGUAGAAUUCCCGGUGUAGCGGUGAAAUGCGUAGAGAUCGGGAGGAAUACCAGUGGCGAAGGCGGCCUUCUGGACUGACACUGACACUGAGGUGCGAAAGCUUGGGUAGCAAACAGGAUUAGAUACCCUAGUAGUC